rnacentral:lncRNA from 1 species
CUCUUCCACGCCCAAGAGUUGGGCAUCCCUCUUUUCACAUGCCAAGAGGUGCUGCCUUGUCUUCAAGAGUGAAGAUCAAGGAGAAGAAGAAGAAGGCUGCUGAUCAAGGAGUUGAUCCCACAGUUCAGAUCAAAGUGUUGAUCAAAGUACUCAAAGCUAAGAUUUUUCUUGAAAAGAAGAGUCUUCUAUAAAGAGAAAUUAGUUCAAGAUCGAUCCCGGUGGAUAUC